AAGUAAAAUAAAAAAUAAAAAUAAAAUAAAAUAAAUGAACUAACCUUUUGAUUCCAGAAGAUAAUACAGUUGACCCUUGGACAAUACAAAUUUGAACUGCGUGAGUCCACUUACAUAGAUUUUUUUCUGCCUCUGCCAGUCCUGAGACAACAAAACCAACCCCUCUUCUUUCUCCUUCUCAGCCUAAUCAAUGUGAAGAUGAUGAGGAUGAAGACCUUUAUGAUGAUCCACUUCGACUUAAUGAAUAAAAGAAAAGUCUCAAUUGCUCAGACUUCUGUGAUCUGGCCCCACUGUGUCUGGGCAGACUCACCGCCCACUCUUCCUGUUCCCAUCCCUAAAGGUCCAGUCAAUCUGGCUGCCCACCAGUCUUCAGAGACGGGGUUUUGCCAUGUUGCCCAGGCUGGUCUAGAACUCCUGA